CAGCCGCCGCGGUAAUACAGAGGGUGCGAGCGUUAAUCGGAUUUACUGGGCGUAAAGCGUGCGUAGGCGGCUUUUUAAGUCGGAUGUGAAAACCCUGAGCUUAACUUAGGAAUUGCAUUCGAUACUGGGAAGCUAGAGUAUGGGAGAGGAUGGUAGAAUUCCAGGUGUAGCGGUGAAAUGCGUAGAGAUCUGGAGGAAUACCGAUGGCGAAGGCAGCCAUCUGGCCUAAUACUGACGCUGAGGUACGAAAGCAUGGGGAGCAAACAGGAUUAGAGACCCCCGUAGUCCCUGUCUCUUAUAC
rnacentral:rRNA from 1 species